CCUACGGGUGGCAGCAGUAGGGAAUAUUGCUCAAUGGGGGAAACCCUGAACCAGCAAAGUCGCGUGGAGGAUGAAGGCUUUAGGAUUGUUAAAUCCUUUUGUUAGAGAAGAUUAUGACGCUAUCUCACGCAUCAGCACCAGUUAACUCAGUGCCAGCAGCCGCUGUCAUACGGCGGGUUCACGCGUUACUCGGAAUCAAUGGGCGUAAAGAGUGCGUUGGUGGGGUAAUAAGUCACAUGUGAAAUCCUGUGGCUUAACUACAUAAUUGCAUGUGAAACUGGUACUCUGGAGUGUAGGAGAGGUAUGUGGAAUGCGUGGUGUAGGGGUAAAAUCCGUAGAGAUCAAGAGGAAUACGCAUUGCGAAGGCGACCUGCUGGAUCAUGACUGACGCUGAUGCACGAAAGCGUGGGGAGCAAACAGGAUUAGAUACCCGAGUAGUC
rnacentral:rRNA from 1 species